ensembl:lncRNA uncharacterized LOC114433146
UCGUUUAUUCGGGUUAUUUAUGCAACUGAAAACUUUGUUUGGAAAGUCAGUAAUCCUGCCUUCUCCUUUCACUGUCUUGAGACAGUUUCUACUACCACCCUCCAGUGAGGCUGGAAAUUCCCAUUCACUUUCCAUCAUAUCUGUAGGCCGAUAACAAUCUGUCAGGAUUCGAAGGGUGUGUGUAACCACAAAGGUUUCUUUUUUGUAUUUCCUGACGUUCCUGUCCUUCCAACUGCUACCAGUUGAAACCCAUCUCUUCAUCUUUCUCUCUCCCUCACACACACACACACAGAGCAGGGGGUUCCCAUAUGUUUAAACAGAUCCCUUUUUAGACGCUGUGAUCUUUUUUUAGAUGAGUGAUGAAAUAAGCUACACAAAUGCCCAACCUCCUCCACACACACACAGAGAAAGACGCACACAUACACUCAAGUCCAUGUUCAUCAUAUAUUCAGACUAUUACUAUCGCCAUAGUGCCACUUUUGCCAGGCCAGCCUCGCUCACAUCGGCAUGAGAAAGGUGCGCCUUCUGUUUGACUUGUGUCGGAAGGGUUAAGCUGUGGCCGUCUCUCCUUUUCAUUUUCCACCUAAGGCGCUGUGUCUGGUGCGCCCUUGCGCAAUAGCGCGGAGAGGCGCGGAAAGUCUAUGUGUAGUUUUCACACCUCCUGACAGAGCAGUGCAAGAAGGGGGGUGUGUGUGUGUGGAGGCGACAGGGAAACCCAUGACUUCCGCGUUUUUCCUCCGUCCCUGAAACUGAGUGCAGUUGAACGUAUAAAAAGCUAACAUGGUGUCUGUAGCCGCGACAUACACGCAAAGAACGAGGACCGGGCUGCAUGACUGAAAGCCGGACUAACCUGCUGAGGAAAGUUUUAAAAGCUUUGCUUUGGACUUCAAGUCUUAACAAAAAAAUCUCCAGUCUCGGACACCUCACUGCUUAUUGAUGGGACAACCAAAUACACAAGUGGUGGACGUGGAGUCUCUUCGGGAAAGCGGCCGCCGGCGUGGAAGCUGCCUGGACAGUUUUCUCGUCACGUCCAUCGUCGUUCUGUUCGCGGCGGUGACAGCCGUGGCUGUCGGCGGAGUGAUGCUGGCGAUGGAGCUGCGGUCCGAGCUGCGGUCCCAACUGGAGCCCCUGCGCUCCAUCACAGUUGGCAGGACCUCAGAAUUCACAGGAGAUAUAGGAGACACUCCUCCAGUGUACAAGAUGCAGAACUUUGCCCACCUGGAGGACAACUCACGCGAGCUGAACAACUCUACCAUGAAAUGGUUUGUAGUCCAUUAUGGUCAUGGGACAUCUGUGGGAAGCAACUUCAUCUACAACUCUGACGAUGGUUCACUGAUGGCAAAAAAGACAGGGAGCUACUUCUUGUACCUUGACCUCAAACUCGAAUGCGUCCAUUCCUGCGGUGCAGGCAUCCUCACUGUGGCUGUGGGCAAUAAGCUCAAGUGUGAGGUCGCACUUCAGGCAGGCUCAGUGUCAGAGAGCAGGAGGUGUUGGAGCGUGAGCGGGAUAAACACAGACGACAAACUGAUGGGACAGAUGUCCGUGUCAGGGACAAACCUGAACAACUGGAAACUGGACUCACAAAUUGGGAUGUUCCUCAUAGACUGAUGUGGACGCCGCGGUUCAUUUAGCUCUCAUCUGGCUGCAGACGUGCUCAUGACCCCUGUGGGUUAGUAACACUAGUCUGUUUUCUGAAAGCUUAACUAAUUGAAAGCAGGCAGGCACAGGUGCCAUGUGACGUGGGUUCUCAUAAAGAACCCUAAACAGGAAGGAAUCUCAGGAUGACCUGCAGUUACAAACAGGGGGGAAAAAAUCCACACUCACCUCAAUCUGUGUAAAAACUGUAUGUAUAUAUGUAUUUAUUUGGGUUUUAUGCAGCUAUUUAUGUAUUUAUAAUACUCUCAAUGUAGAUGCCACUACAUUCAUAUUGAUGUGCAAUACAUUGUGAUUUUUAAUCGGCCUACAUUGGGUUAGAAGUGACUUUAUAGCUCUGUUUUUAUAGCUCUGUUAAUCUGCAGGUGUAAAGUUUUCUCUUUUUUUUAAUGUGUGAUGAAACUUCUGCACAAAAACCACAACAGGGACAGAAUUUAGCUCUACUGUACCUGAGUAACGAGGAUGAGUAAAGGGUGUGUACAUAAAAAUAAAUUCCCUAGAAUCAAAGUUAGAUUAAAAAUG